AUGGCCGGCCCGCCAAAUGUUUUUAACCCAGCCCACGGAUCCAGGAGCAGGUGGGAGGAGAAGGUGCAGGUGCUGGUUUCCAUCCUGGUUUCCAUCCUAAUCCACUGCCACUCCAUGUGCCUGCUCGUUGCUGAUCCCUGCGUGCUCCGCGAAUCCUUUCGUCUGCAGAAGGGUGGUUGGGGUUUCUGUAGGGGCAAGGAGAGAUCUGCGAUGCGCGCAUCGCCGGCCAGCGAUGGCUUCGUGAACUGGCUGCCGGAGAUUGCCGAGGCCACCUGUGGGAAGGAAAGCCUCAUCUUCCAGUACAGCCUCAGCCAGGUGAGGUCUCAUCCUUACUUCCUCCUUCAAAAGUCAUCUCAUGUCGAAGAAGAAACUGGUAUAAAGUUAAAUCUACAGGGCAUGGUUGAUCUUACUGCUUCGCCGGACCCUGCUACUGGGUGCAGAAUGCUACCAUCACCAGCUCUCCAAGGGAAGGAAACGGGCCUGCGGGACCAUGUCGAGCUGAUCAAGCUGCGUGUGGUCCCCUAUGACCAACUCUGGCGCACGACGUCAGAUGCAAAGGCGCUCUCGGCAAUAGCUCUGUACGAGAUGGGUGCCAAUAGACUGCAUAAAGCUUCAUCAGUUAUACCCAUCCUUCGUCUAGCGAACUUGCAUGUUCAGCAAGCAUGUCCUAAAGACAAAGGAUAUUCUCCUCUCACUUGGAUGGCAUGGAUGCUCUAG
rnacentral:rRNA from 1 species